AUUGAACGCUGGCGGCAGGCCUAACACAUGCAAGUCGAACGAGUGGCGGACGGGUGAGUAGUGUCUGGGAAAAUGCUUGAUGGAGGGGGAUAAGUACUGGAAACGGUAGCUAAUACCGCAUACCAUCGGAUGUGCCCAGAUGGGAUUAGCUAGUAGGUGGGGUAACGGCUCACCUAGGCGACGAUCCCUAGCUGGUCUGAGAGGAUGACCAGCCACCCUGGAACGGAGACACGGUCCAGACUCCAACGGGAGGCAGCGUUGGGAAAUCUUGCACAAUGGGCGAAAGCCUGAUGCGGCCAUGCCGCGUGUAUGAAGAAGGCCUUCGGGUUGUAAAGUCCUUUCAGCGGGGAGGCGUUACCCGCAGAGGAAGCACCGGCUAACUCCGUGCCAGCAGCCGCGGUAAUAC
rnacentral:rRNA from 1 species